rnacentral:rRNA from 1 species
CCUACGUGAGGCAGCAGUGAGGAAUAUUGGUCAAUGGGCGCGAGCCUGAACCAGCCAAGUAGCGUGAAGGAUGACUGCCCUACGGGUUGUAAACUUCUUUUAUAAAGGAAUAAAGUGAGGCACGUGUGCCUUUUUGUAUGUACUUUAUGAAUAAGGAUCGGCUAACUCCGUGCCAGCAGCCGCGGUAAUACGGAGGAUCCGAGCGUUAUCCGGAUUUAUUGGGUUUAAAGGGAGCGUAGAUGGGUUGUUAAGUCAGUUGUGAAAGUUUGCGGCUCAACCGUAAAAUUGCAAUUGAUACUGGCAGUCUUGAGUACAGGUGAGGUAGGCGGAAUUCGUGGUGUAGCGGUGAAAUGCUUAGAUAUCACGAAGAACUCCGAUUGCGAAGGCAGCUUACUAAACUGCCACUGACAUUGAUGCUCGAAAGUGUGGGUAUCAAACAGGAUUAGAUACCCUUGUAGUC